rnacentral:rRNA from 1 species
AGUGAACGCUGGCGGUAGGCCUAACACAUGCAAGUCGAACGGCAGCACAGUAAGAGCUUGCUCUUACGGGUGGCGAGUGGCGGACGGGUGAGGAAUACAUCGGAAUCUACUUUUUCGUGGGGGAUAACGUAGGGAAACUUACGCUAAUACCGCAUACGACCUACGGGUGAAAGCAGGGGAUCUUCGGACCUUGCGCGAUUGAAUGAGCCGAUGUCGGAUUAGCUAGUUGGCGGGGUAAAGGCCCACCAAGGCGACGAUCCGUAGCUGGUCUGAGAGGAUGAUCAGCCACACUGGAACUGAGAAACGGUCCAGACUCCUACGGGAGGCAGCAGUGGGGAAUAUUGGACAAUGGGCGCAAGCCUGCUCCAGCCAUACCGCGUGGGUGAAGAAGGCCUUCGGGUUGUAAAGCCCUUUUGUUGGGAAAGAAAAGCAGCAGGUUAAUACCCCGCUGUUCUGACGGUACCCAAAGAAUAAGCACCGGCUAACUUCGUG